CUCAGGGAGGCCACGUACCGCAGGAUCCCAUUUAUCCUUUAGACAGCCACAUGGCUUGCGGCUCCCCUGGGGGCCGCCAUCUUGAAACGGCAAAGGCCAACCCCUCCCUUUGAAGUAGCCAAUUGCGAAAGACUGUGCCCCUGAGCUCCAAUCAACAGUGAGGGGCAGGUCACAUGCGUAAGAAUUAAAAACCUGAGCAGACCACCUGCUCGGAGUGCACAUACUUCCAGACCGUGUGUGUGCAUCCUUCUACCUAAAAGUAAGGAUACUUGCCUUGCUGCCU